rnacentral:rRNA from 1 species
UACGUAGGUGGCAAGCGUUGUCCGGAAUUAUUGGGCGUAAAGCGCGCGCAGGCGGUCCUUUAAGUCUGAUGUGAAAGCCCACGGCUCAACCGUGGAGGGUCAUUGGAAACUGGGGACUUGAGUACAGAAGAGGAAAGCGGAAUUCCACGUGUAGCGGUGAAAUGCGUAGAGAUGUGGAGGAACACCAGUGGCGAAGGCGGCUUUCUGGUCUGUAACUGACGCUGAGGCGCGAAAGCGUGGGAGCAAACAGG